rnacentral:sRNA from 2 species
GGACAGCCAUCGCCGAGUCCCCGUACGGCGCGAGCCAGGGGAGCCGGGGACCCACAUAUAUGUAGUCCCUGGGGUGAAUCGGACGCCCGCGCGUGCAGCGAGGGGGUCCGUAGGAGACCUUCCUGCUCCGAACCCGUCAGCUAACCCGGUAGGCGAGAGGGAAGGAAAGG